rnacentral:rRNA from 1 species
CGGACGGGUGAGUAACGCGUGAGAAUCUGCCCUCAGGAGGGGGAUAACAGUUGGAAACGACUGCUAAUACCCCAUAUGCCGAAAGGUGAAACGAAUUUCGCCUGGGGAUGAGCUCGCGUCUGAUUAGCUUGUUGGUGGGGUAAAGGCCUACCAAGGCUUCGAUCAGUAGCUGGUCUGAGAGGACGAUCAGCCACACUGGGACUGAGACACGGCCCAGACUCCUACGGGAGGCAGCAGUGGGGAAUUUUCCGCAAUGGGUGAAAGCCUGACGGAGCAACGCCGCGUGAGGGAUGAAGGCCUUUGGGCUGUAAACCUCUUUUCUCAAGGAAGAAGAUCUGACGGUACUUGAGGAAUAAGCCACGGCUAAUUCCGUGCCAGCAGCCGCGGUAAUACGGGAGUGGCAAGCGUUAUCCGGAAUUAUUGGGCGUAAAGCGUCCGCAGGCGGCCGUCUAAGUCUGUUGUUAAAUCGUGGAGCUUAACUCCAUCACGGCAAUGGAAACUGUUCGGCUUGAGUGUGGUAGGGGCAGAGGGAAUUUCCGGUGUAGCGGUGAAAUGCGUAGAUAUCGGGAAGAACACCAGUGGCGAAAGCGCUCUGCUAGGCCAUUACUGACGCUCAUGGACGAAAGCCAGGGGAGCGAAUGGGAUUAGAUACCCCAGUAGUC